GAAACGUGAAGCUGGCAACUUGCCCGGAGGGAAGCUUCCUUGUAACUCACAGAAAUCUGGUCCUGUCCUGAGGACUGGGGACAUUUCUCAGUGACAGAGCAGAUGAGGCUUCACAAGUCCCUGAGUUCAGUCUCCAGAACUGCAACAGCAAAGAAGAAUUCAGAACCUUUCUUCAGGCCUACUGCCACCUUCAGCUCAGAAGACCUCCUCCUUCCGCCACAACUCUUCUUGAGACACAAAAAUAAGUUUUUAUUUAGAACAAAAAUAGAUGUAACAAAUGACUCAUUUAACUGACAAAUACAAUGAACAUGAUAAAAACUCAGCAGAAUAAGAUGAUUUUAUUAUUUUCUUGACAUGCCUCUAAUAUUUCCCCCAUAAUCCCCGGCUGAAUACUGUCAUUGCCUCUUCAUCUGACAAUGAAUCUAUAAUAUAAUUUCCCACAGACGGCAGGAUAAUUCUGCCUUUCUUUGAGCAUGAUUG